UGCAUUCAAUUAUCUGGCCUUUGCACAACCAAAUCAAGAAGCCCUCCCUUAAGAAUAACCAAAAAAACCAACAAUCGACCAAAUUAAGCAUAAUAAUAUGUACAUAUCAGAUCGAUUAAUAGUAGAGUCCAUCAUGAAGAAACCAAAUCAGCCGCAAACAUAUUAAAAAAUACAAAACAACUAAAAAUAAAUUGAUUGACCACAGAGCAGCUUCCUAAAACAGAAAAGAAGACUGCAAAGAAGACGAUGAACAACCGAGAAAUUUUUUCCAACAAAUUCAUUUAAUAAUCAAUCCCCACAAAAAAAUCCCUACAGGCGAACAACUAGAGCAGAAAAUCGGAUACUAGGGGAACAAAAGAAGUCAAAAUUGUGGGAAUCGUCAUCGUCGUGGAAUCGUCAUCGUCGUGGAGAAUCGACGGAGGAGAUUCGCUCUGAAACGGGUCUAGGCGGUGAUGGAACAGAUCUUCUUCUUCAACUUUGCUUAUAUUCAUUUUUGCAGAGACAGAUGAUGAUCUUUUAUAAUAUUUGGAAUUAGAUGAGGAAUUAGAUGAUUCUGGAGAUGAUGGAGAUGAUGGAGAUGGGGGAGAAGAUGAUGAUAGACAGUAGAUCUGUGGUUUG
rnacentral:lncRNA from 1 species